rnacentral:tRNA from 1 species
CCUUCGAUAGCUCAGUUGGUAGAGCGGAGGACUGUAGAGGUCUACGAAGUCAUCCUUAGGUCGCUGGUUCAAAUCCGCUCAAGGA